AUCGCUUCUCGGCCUUUUGGCUAAGAUCAAAUGUAGUAUCAAGUGAAAGUAAACCAACACAAAAAUAAUUAUAUGCUGCUUUUAAGAAACUUACU
ensembl:snRNA U2 U2 spliceosomal RNA